AGAAACAGGCAGCCUGACUAGAGAACAAACUACCAAUUAACGAGCGAGGAAACAGGGCCAGAGAAUUGGAACAAAAUACAAGGCUGCCUCUGAAAGGAAUAUCUUUGUGCUGAUGUGUCCAUCAAGAGAACAUACACAGAAGUGACACUUGCCAGUAAUUUGCAAGCAGAUGGAACUUCAAUAUGGCAAUAGAGAAAGAAUCAAUUAGACCAGAGUCUCCUCAGGAAGACUUUCUAUAGGUGGACGGUCCCCUGGAGAGCCCGCUGUGUUGGAAGAUGUAGAAUAUUCAUAUAUCUGGUGAGCAUCUGCUAGAUGCCAGGGUUGGGGAGAGUCAAGUUGAAGCAAGCAUGAACCCUCAAGGACCUACCAUUUCAAGGCAAGAAAUAGAUACAAAUACAGAAAAUAUUUACUGGAUAGCUACUAGACAUAAGGAUGCAGAAAUGAAUUAGAAAAAUUCCUCGCCCUUGUUCAAAGCUAUGCUGGCUCUUAGAACAUCUGAGCCCCCACUGUUUCAUCUUUAGAGGAUCCCAGCUGCUGGGGUGUGAGGCCAGUGCUGGAGCCAGCAGUCUCUGACCCAGAAGGGACCUGAGGUGCUAAAGAAAAGGGUACAAGCUGGAAAAGGGGAAAAUGAAUCAUGCUACAGGCCAAGUGUCCAUCACUGAUUCCCAGAGAUGCCCUUUGUGUGGUAGGCACUUCCAUGUGGACUCGCUACAGAGUUUGGAGUUCCUGAACAACAUGGACAGUGUUAAUUUGGAUUCCAUGCUUCAUGGCACAGAAUUGGAGCACUAACUACUCAGUGAUGACUUUCUCUUCCUCUAGCUAAGGUGAUCAACAAGUUUCCUUGUUCUUUCUCCAAGUAGUAGAAGAAAGUAAAGGUCAUAAGACCCUAAUUCCAGAGGGCCCUACCCUAUAACCAGAAGGAAGAACUAUUGCACAGAGAAUCUAAGAAGAAUCUAGACAGACAGCCCUUGCUGGAUUUCUCCACUCUGUUAGCAUUCGAUCAUUUGCCUUUUGUCCAGUCAUAUUUCUGCAUGGCUGUCCAUACUUUGUUGAACCUAAGCACAAAAUGGAAAGUUUUCCCUGUAUCUUUGGGUCGUCAUUCUGAAGGCUCCCAUGUUAUGUAAAACUAUGAUCAAAUAAAUAUGCAUGCCUUUUCUCCUAUAA
rnacentral:lncRNA from 1 species